rnacentral:rRNA from 1 species
UGACUCUUUGAGGUAGGAAACCCGCUGAAUUCAUCUACUGAACCCCAGGAAACUUACGAGUUACACUCCAACCCAUGUGACUUAC